rnacentral:rRNA from 1 species
UACAGAGGGUGCGAGCGUUAAUCGGAAUUACUGGGCGUAAAGCGCACGUAGGCGGCUUGGUAUGUCGGGUGUGAAAUCCCCGGGCUCAACCUGGGAACUGCAUCCGAAACUGCCUUGCUAGAGUAUGGGAGAGGGAAUGGAAUUUCCGGUGUAGCGGUGAAAUGCGUAGAUAUCGGAAGGAACAUCAGUGGCGAAAGGCGACUUCCUGGACCAAUCUGACGCUCAGGUGCGAAACGUGGG